GCGGCGCUCGCCUCCUCCUCCCGCUUCCUCGCCUGCUUCCGCGAUAUGGACCGGUACCGGAUCUUCAGCGUCCCCGGCGGCGUCCGCGGCGGCGCCGCCGGUUUCCCCUCCGAGACGCCGCUGCCGUUGCCGGCGCCGCCGCCGCCGCCCUCCUCCUCCAGGGGGCCAUCGCCGGCCGUGGCGCUGACAGGCCGCCGGCGGAGGGCGACAGUGCGCGGCGGCGGCGGCGGCGCUCGAGCUCUCAGGGAACGGCUGCUGCCCUGCGGCGGCGAGAAGAGGGAGGAGGAUUCCGGUGGGAGCGGCGGCGAGAACAUCUUGGCCUCCAUCUCUUC
rnacentral:lncRNA from 1 species